UUUGUCAGCACAUAUAAUUUUUUUAAAAAUUGGAACAAUAUAGAGAAUAUUAGCUCUAUCCCUGCACAAGAUGACUGCAAAUUCAAGUGGUCUAUAAAAAAAUA
rnacentral:snRNA from 1 species